rnacentral:lncRNA from 1 species
AUCCUUUGGGAAACAAUGAGUCUGAGCUAUCAGCGGGCAGAUGUGGGAAUGGAUGUGAAAAUUUGAGGUCCCCCUUACGGGGGUGCUACUGGACAUCAUAGGAAUAAGUGAGUCACCCAGACAGAGGGUGAAGAGUCAGAAGGGAAGACAACGACGCUGUCAACCUUCAAGGUGGAACAUGCAUGCAAAGGUUUAGAAACACUGCAAACAAGGCUACCUGCUGUCGUUCCUGGCCAAAGGAAACAGAACGGAAGAGCCUCUGUUCCCCAGAAGUGGUCACUUAGGGUUGCCCUGAUCUGGGAAGGUUCUGUGCAGAGGUGGCCUCGUGAGGUGCGCUGUGGCACAUAGACCU